rnacentral:rRNA from 1 species
UACGUAGGGGCUAGCGUUGUCCGGAAUCAUUGGGCGUAAAGCGCGUGUAGGCGGUUCGGUAAGUCUGCUGUGAAAGUCGGGGGCUCAACCCUCGAAUGCCGGUGGAUACUGUCGGACUAGAGUGCGGAAGAGGCGAGUGGAAUUCCUGGUGUAGCGGUGAAAUGCGCAGAUAUCAGGAGGAACACCAAUUGCGAAGGCAGCUCGCUGGGACGGUACUGACGCUGAGGCGCGAAAGCGUGGGGAGCAAACAGG